rnacentral:rRNA from 1 species
UACGUAGGGGGCAAGCGUUGUUCGGAAUUACUGGGCGUAAAGGGCGCGUAGGCGGCACGACAAGUCGGAAGUGAAAGCCCGGGGCUCAACCCCGGAAUGUCUUUCGAAACUGUCGAGCUAGAGUGCAGAAGAGGCAACUGGAAUUCCCAGUGUAGCGGUGAAAUGCGUAGAUAUUGCUCGGAAGGCCAGAGCCGAAGGGGCCCCAUUGGUACGUAACUGACGCUGAGGCACGAAAGCGUGGGGAGCAAACAGG